UACGUAGGGGGCAAGCGUUGUCCGGAAUCAUUGGGCGUAAAGAGCGUGUAGGCGGCCCGGUAAGUCCGCUGUGAAAGUCCAGGGCUCAACCCUGGGAUGCCGGUGGAUACUGUCGGGCUAGAGUGCGGGAGAGGCGAGUGGAAUUCCUGGUGUAGCGGUGAAAUGCGCAGAUAUCAGGAGGAACACCCAUUGCGAAGGCAGCUCGCUGGGACGUUACUGACGCUGAGACGCGAAAGCGUGGGGAGCAAACAGG
rnacentral:rRNA from 1 species